UAGAUCAUAUACUGAUCUACUGUGAUUGAUGAUGUCGGCAAGUUACUAUUCAAUUCUUGUAGCAAACAAAUACAGAUAUAGCUGGCUUUUUCAAAAUAGAAUACAGUUACUCAAUGUAACGAGUUACCGACUAUGCCAUUAUAUUGUGUCCUGGAAAAGUUAGAUUCGAUCGAAAAUGAAGACAAUUAAGGGCCGCUAAACUCAUCCUGAAGGUCCACUGGGCUUUGACUGAGGGCCAGAAAAACAUCGCAUGCUUCGAAGUGCCGGCGCAAAUAACGUAAUGCCAAAUUCAUAAAUGUAGCAAUCGUCCGCACUGCAUUCACCGGUAAUAAUUGUCACACAGUUGUUAGCGUUUUUAACAUUACCAUUACAUUUUUUCUCCAUUUAUACGAAAUGAUAUUCUUGCAACGUUUUCUUUUGUUUAUUUUUUCUUUUUUUUUUGUGUAUUUUAAUAUUGGAUAAUGGGUAAAAAAUUUGCAAAUAAGGGAGAGAGGGGAAAAAAAAAGAUCCCAUGAAAUUCCACCAUGAAUUUUCUUUUUUUUUUGCUUUGAAAUCUCACCAUCACAGAUCUAUACGUAAGUAUAAGUAAUUUUUAUUACAUACCUACGUAUAAUAUAAUUAUAAAAUGUUAUAGAUGUAUAAGGAAAGUGGAAAAAAAGUUUGUAAAAUUUUC